CAAACGGAGGGUGGGCUAAGCCCCGAAUGUAUUGUAAUCCUACCGACGCCUCUGCUAAGCAUCAUAAACUCUAAGACUGCCAAGAUGGAACGUGAUCAACUUGGGUAGAAAGUUUAUCCUGAUCAUUGGUGAUUCUCAUCUCUGUGCCUUAGUGGAUAACAUUGCCCCCAUCAGGCUGAUUCCACUGGUCGACCGUCCAUGGCUUUCGGCUUCAUGUCCACUCCUGGAGCAAGAGUUUACAUCUGAUGGCAGAUGCUCAUGGGGAGGUGUUACCCAAAGGUCUUGUCCCAGACGUAGUAUGUCUGAUCACUCCUGGUAAACACCUUGAAGCCAGCCCAUCCAUCGCUCAGGCAGGAGAAGAGUUCAAACAACUCCUUGCUGCUAUGUUGAGAUGGCCUGAGGAAAAAUGACCUAAAUUAACAAGAACGACUGGCACUGGAAUAUGAAACCCAAGCAUGGGAUCUGGAUGUGACUUACGGAAGGGAGACGUCCAGGGCCUUCCAGGCCCUAAGAGCAGUGGCCGGAAAGAUUCAUGUGAGCAAUGAUUCUGAGAUGCCAAGUAUGGCUACCCUGAACAAGGACACUUUGUUUGAGGAAAUACAGGUCAUCCGUACAACUAGACCUCGUUGUGCUGGGAUUCAAAUUGUAAGCUAUCUCAUAAUUUAAGGUGUUGUCAAUGUUGGCGUCAUCAGCAACACCCAGAUCCCCAUCAAUGGUCAGUCUGACAGGGACUCCUUAAAACAGUAUGAGAAAAAACUGCAGGGCAUCCUUC